rnacentral:lncRNA from 1 species
CAUACUCCUCCUCAUCACCUGGUACCUAUGUGGGACCCCCUGGUGGUGGCGGCCCUCCAGGAACACCUAUUAUGCCCAGUCCCGCAGAUUCAACAAAUUCCAGUGACAACAUCUACACAAUGAUUAAUCCGGUGCCGCCUGGAGGCAGCCGGUCCAACUUCCCGAUGGGUCCCGGCUCGGACGGUCCGAUGGGCGGCAUGGGUGGCAUGGAGCCACACCACAUGAAUGGAUCAUUAGGUGAGUGGCCCCUGCCCUCGCCAUGCCCCACCCUGCCUGGGC